rnacentral:rRNA from 1 species
CGACUGCUAUCCGGGUAGGACUAAGCCAUGCAAGUUGAAUGGAAUACCUAUUUUCCAUGGCGAACCACUCAGUAACACGUGAUCAACUUACCCUAAAGCGGUGUAUAACCUCGGGAAACUGAGGAUAAUACACCAUAAUUGAAACUGCCUGGAAUGGUUUUUCAAUGAAAGAGUAAUCUGAAUGGAGGUUAUUUCACCUUAGGAUAGGAUCGCGCCCGAUUAUGGCAGUUGGUGAGGUAACGGCUCACCAAACCUAUUAUCGGUAAGGGCCGUGAGAGCGGUAGCCCUGA